GCGGGACCGCCGCCGGGUCCCCAAGAUGCCCAGCGCCAGCCCAUUGCCCACCACACCCGCCACAAACAUCAGCGUGCUGGUGGCCGGGCCUACCGAGUCCCGCACAUAGGCCCUGCUCUGGGAAAAGGCCAGCCCUGCUUCAUAACCUCCACCCAAGUGCCACCAGCUGCUGGUUCCCGCCAAGCCUGACCGUCGGGUAUGACCGUCUGAGAAGCUGCCUUGUGUCCAUCCUGACCUGUCCCUCCUUGGCAGCGACCAGUACCUACAGCCAGAGGCCAUUUUUCUCUGCCCACCACCCUUUUCUCCACCCCAAAGUGGCUCUUGUCUACCUAAUGGGCUCUACUUCUCACCUCUGCUUCAAGAGGCUCUACCCUGUCAUCCCUGCCCUGCUUUUGUGUGGGCUGUGCCCCUCAGCUGGGACACCCUCACUUCUGUCCUCCAAGCCCCCCAGAAAACCUCUAGCCCCUUCUGAGCACUCACCCACUGACUCCACUGGCCAUGUGAUGUCACCCCUCCGUACCUCUUUUUCAUGUCUGUAAAAUGGGGAUACAUGGUCCUGUGGGGGCUAUCGGAGUAUUAAGUGAGAUGGGGCGGUGCUGGCCACGGCUCUGGCUCAUUCUCCCUUUGGGCUAGCCUCCCCCAGGCCCCUUCCAGGAGGUAGGCACAGCUCUGAGCAUGUGGGUGCAGAUGUGAGGAAGGCACCCUGGGAGGGGCAUCCAGCAGCCCUCAGGAUCCGGGGUGAAGUGGGGGGCUGCUAAGAGCAAGCACUUCCCAAGGCACUCACUGCUCUGCCUCUUGGCCUGGCCGUGACCCCAGAGCUGACCUCACAGCUAGGGGCUGAAAGAGCAGUGGAUGACCAGAAGCUGUUGCUGCAGAAUCAUCUCCACUAACAAGAUUACCCAGGUUUGCCUGCUGGAGGCUGGUCACCGGGGACCUGCCCCGUCCCUUCUGGCUUCUCUUCCUCCCCAGCCUCAGUUGUGACCAACAUUGGGUCCAGGCUCACCCAGUCCUCUCACUCCUUCCCCUCCUCCUCCUCCAGGCAGAUCUCUGGUCCCACCUGCUCUCCCUUCCCUACACCAGGAUCGUCACCAGACCUUCCACUUCAUGAGAAGCUGGAAAUACGGACUUUUAAGUGAAGUACUCCUAUUUUUUGAUGUGGCAACCAAGUCAAGAACAUUUUUAAACAUUAUGUAGGCCAAAAGUGGAAAGCCAGAAAAUACAUAACUGCAAGCUAUGUAUGUUCUGCAGCCACCUCUGGGUGCAGUGGGAAAAAGGGCAGGACCCCGAGCUACCACCCAUCACCCCUGUGUU